rnacentral:rRNA from 1 species
UACAGAGGGUGCGAGCGUUGUCCGGAAUCACUGGGCGUAAAGGGCGCGUAGGUGGCGACCCAAGUCGAUGGUGAAAGCUCGCCGCUCAACGGCGAGUCGGCCACCGAUACUGGGUUGCUGGAGCACUGUAGAGGCUCAUGGAAUUCCGGGUGUAGCGGUGGAAUGCGUAGAGAUCCGGAAGAACACCGGUGGCGAAGGCGGCAUCCUGGACCGAUACUGACGCUGAGGAGCGAAAGCCAGGGGAGCAAACGGG